rnacentral:rRNA from 1 species
GAUGAACGCUCGCUACAGGCUUAACACAUGCAAGUCGAGGGACCGGCGCACGGGUGAGUAACACGUAUCCAACCUGCCCUUUACUCGGGGAUCGCCUUUCGAAAGAAAGUUUAAUACCCUAUAUAAAGAAUGGGGGUGCGUUCCAUUAGGUUGUUGGUGAGGUAAAGGCUCACCAAGCAUUCGAUGGAUAGGGGUUCGGAGAGGGAGGUCCACCACAUUGGAACUGAGACACGGUCCAAACUCAUACGGGAGGCAGCAGGGAGGAAUAUUGGUCAAUGGGCGGUAGCCUGAACCAGCGAAGUAGCGUGAAGGAUGAAGGAUUAUGGGUCGUAAAAUGCUUUUAUAUAAGAAUAUGUAUUAUAUGAAUAAGGAUCGGCUAACUACGUGCCAGCAGCCGCGGUAAUAC